rnacentral:misc_RNA from 1 species
GAAAGGGAUAGAAUCGACAUCGUCUCAAGCUAUCAUCAAAAAUCAAUAUCUGAGAUAAUUGUUUUGUGAGAAAGAAAAAGGAAAUGUCUGGAGUUGGACCAAUCACACAGGACUGGGAACCAGUGGUAAUCCGCAAGAAGGCUCCCAACGCCGCCGCGAAGAAGGAUGAGAAGGUUGUCAACGCCGCUCGCCGUUCCGGUGCCGAGAUUGAAACUCUAAAAAAAUCAAAUGCUGGUACAAACAAAGCCGCCUCAAGCAGCACUUCUUUAAACACAAGAAAGCUUGAUGAAGAAACAGAGAACCUAACUCACGAUCGAGUGCCAAGUGAACUGAAGAAAGCCAUCAUGCAGGCUCGAACGGACAAGAAGCUUACCCAGUCCCAACUUGCUCAAUUGAUCAAUGAGAAGCCCCAGAUAAUACAAGAGUACGAGUCUGGAAAAGCAAUUCCAAAUCAACAGAUAAUAGGCAAACUGGAGAGAGCUCUUGGUGUGAAGCUGCGAGGGAAGAAAUAAAUUGUGACUUUGAACACAGAUGGGAGCUAUAAAGUUACGAAAGUGUCUAUGAUCUUAAAAUUGGUGGUGUAAAUGAACUUUUUCUACCAUCAUUAUGGCUUGCAUGUAAAAUCCAUAGUCUUGAUUUGUGUGGAGAGUUGUGAUAUGUUGAGUUGGAAUUUGAUUUGUGCCUUUGUUCAUGCGUGCACGAUGUUGUCCUCAUGAGUUUACGGUUGUUUCUGCACACUUGUAUGUGUUUGAGAUGGGUCGAGCAACUGCUUUUAAAUUUUCUAAAUCAAGGUAUCGUGUUUAUUUUUAUGACGUUUUGCCCAUGAUUUAUUGAGAUCUACUGGUGGAGUACGUUUGAUGGGGCUGCUAAGGUUAAGGUAAAUGAAAAGAAAUGAAAGGUUCGAUUCUUG